UACGUAGGGACCGAGCGUUGUCCGGAAUCAUUGGGCGUAAAGAGCGUGUAGGCGGCCAAUUAAGUCCUGCGUGAAAUCUCGGGGCUCAACCCCGAGCGGUCGUGGGAAACUGGUUGGCUAGAGUGCGGGAGAGGAGAGUGGAAUUCCUGGUGUAGCGGUGAAAUGCGCAGAUAUCAGGAAGAACACCCGUGGCGAAGGCGGCUCUCUGGAACGCAACUGACGCUGAGACGCGAAAGCCGUGGGGAGCAA
rnacentral:rRNA from 1 species